GAUGAACGCUGGCGGCGUGCUUAACACAUGCAAGUCGAACGGAAAUGUUUCGCUGAUGCGAUUUCGGUCAAAUCUUGAAGCAUUUUAGUGGCGGACGGGUGAGUAACGCGUGGGUAACCUGCCCUGUACAGGGGGACAACAGUUGGAAACGACUGCUAAUACCGCAUAAGCGCACGGCUUCGCAUGAAUGUCAAAGAUUUAUCGCUGAAAGAUGGCCUCGCGUCUGAUUAGCUGGUUGGUGAGGUAACGGCCCACCAAGGCGACGAUCAGUAGCCGGACUGAGAGGUUGACCGGCCACAUUGGGACUGAGAUACGGCCCAGACUCCUACGGGAGGCAGCAGUGGGGAAUAUUGGGCAAAUGGGCGCAAGCCUGACCCAGCAACGCCGCGUGAAGGAAGAAAGGCUUCGGGUUGUAAACUUCUUUUAAGUAGGGAAGGAAGCAGAAGAACUGUACCUCUAGAAUAAGCCACGGCUAACUACGUG
rnacentral:rRNA from 1 species